CGAAACCAGGCGAUCUAUCCAUGAGCAGGUUGAAGGUUGGGUAACACUAACUGGAGGACCGAACCCACUGUCGUUGAAAAGCCAGGGGAUGACUUGUGGAUAGGGGUGAAAGGCUAAUCAAGCCUGGUGAUAGCUGGUUCUCCCCGAAAGCUAUUUAGGUAGCGCCUCGGACGAAUACCAUAGGGGGUAGAGCACUGUUUCGGCUAGGGGGUCAUCCCGACUUACCAAACCGAUGCAAACUCCGAAUACCUAUGAGUACUAUCCGGGAGACAGACUGCGGGUGCUAACGUCCGUAGUCAAGAGGAAAACAAUCCAGACCGCCAGCUAAGGCCCCAAAAUCAUAGUUAAGUGGGAAACGAUGUGGGAAGGCAUAGACAGCUAGGAGGUUGGCUUAGAAGCAGCCACCCUUUAAAGAAAGCGUAAUAGCUCACUAGUCGAGUCGGCCUGCGCGGAAGAUGUAACGGGGCUAAAA
rnacentral:rRNA from 1 species